rnacentral:rRNA from 1 species
UACAGAGACCUCAAGCGUUAUCCGGAAUCAUUGGGCGUAAAGCGUACCGAUAGGUGGUUUUUACAAGUCAGAAGUGAAAUCUCUCAGCUUAACUGGGAGACUGUCUUUUUGAAACUGUAAAACUUGAAGGGCAAAGAGGAAGCUGGAACAAACGGUGUAGUAGUGAAAUGCGUUGAUAUCGUUUUUGGAACACCAAUAGCGUAGGCAGGCUUCUGGGUGCCACUUGACACUGCUAGGACGAAAGCGUGGGGAGCGAUAAGG